rnacentral:rRNA from 1 species
UACAUGCAGUCGAGCGAAUGGAUUAAGAAGCUUGCUCUUAUGAAGUUAGCGGCGGACGGGUGAGUAACACGUGGGUAACCUGCCCAUAAGACUGGGAUAACUCCGGGAAACCGGGGCUAAUACCGGAUAACAUUUUGAACCGCAUGGUUCGAAAUUGAAAGGCGGCUUCGGCUGUCACUUAUGGAUGGACCCGCGUCGCAUUAGCUAGUUGGUGAGGUAACGGCUCACCAAGGCAACGAUGCGUAGCCGACCUGAGAGGGUGAUCGGCCACACUGGGACUGAGACACGGCCCAGACUCCUACGGGAGGCAGCAGUAGGGAAUCUUCCGCAAUGGACGAAAGUCUGACGGAGCAACGCCGCGUGAGUGAUGAAGGCUUUCGGGUCGUAAAACUCUGUUGUUAGGGAAGAACAAGUGCUAGUUGAAUAAGCUGGCACCUUGACGGUACCUAACCAGAAAGCCACGGCUAACUACGUGCCAGCAGCCGCGGUAAUACGUAGGUGGCAAGCGUUAUCCGGAAUUAUUGGGCGUAAAGCGCGCGCAGGUGGUUUCUUAAGUCUGAUGUGAAAGCCCACGGCUCAACCGUGGAGGGUCAUUGGAAACUGGGAGACUUGAGUGCAGAAGAGGAAAGUGGAAUUCCAUGUGUAGCGGUGAAAUGCGUAGAGAUAUGGAGGAACACCAGUGGCGAAGGCGACUUUCUGGUCUGUAACUGACACUGAGGC